rnacentral:lncRNA from 1 species
AUCAGGAAACACACCUGGCUCGCUAAGACUGCUGGGAUUGAGUCGUGUAUCUGGCCGUCUGCAUGGGUGUGUGUCUGUAUCUGCCUGCAUUUGUGCGUGUGUGUGUUCGCAGGCUGCCAGUGUCAUCGACAUUUCGCACACAUUAACAGGUGGGACUUGGCAUGAAUGUGAGCCGUUAGCGGCAAGAACAACAUCGACUCCGACGACGAGAACACGGUAGUCGCGGGCAGCUUCCCUCUCAGCGUGUUGUAGUUGUGGAGCAAGGCUCACCGGGUAUCUCAAAGGCGGUUGUCGCUUUUUCGAGUCGUUGGCUGCUGUACUUGGGCGCUUUACGCAGGUGUGACACAACACGUAUAUCAGCUACCGUCGAGUACCACAUCCGCCAUGCCAUCUUUCACGUGAAGAGCACUGCCAAGUGUGACAACAACCUGACAGUGAUAGGGAGGAGUGAGUGAGGAGGAAGAGAGAGGGAGGAGCCAAAGCGAGGGAGGGAGAUGGAAAAUAUUUGUGGCAAGUUAACUGCACCCUUGCUGGUAUCUUACAGCAAGCACGAAGAUGUCAUAAAAUGACGGAGAUGGCUGUCAAGUGCGCGCGUGGAGCUUGUCGCUUUGACAUUGCUAGAGAAUGACAUAACCAGUAAAAGUAGAUGACACAUU